rfam:Ictidomys tridecemlineatus contig040010, whole genome shotgun sequence.
GGAGUUGUGGUUCAGGGGUAGAAUGCUUGCCUGGCAUAUAUGAGGCACUGGGUUCAAUUCUCAGCACCAUUU